rnacentral:rRNA from 1 species
UACGGGGGGGGGGUAAGCGUUGUUCGGAAUUACUGGGCGUAAAGGGCUCGUAGGCGGCCAACUAAGUCAUACGUGAAAUCCCUCAGCUUAACUGGGGAACUGCGUGUGAUACUGGAUGGCUUGGAUUUGGGAGAGGGAUGCGGAAUUCCAGGUGUAGCGGUGAAAUGCGUAGAUAUCUGGAGGAACACCGGUGGCGAAGGCGGCAUCCUGGACCAAUAUUGACGCUGAGGAGCGAAAGCUAGGGGAGCAAACGGGAUUAAGAAACC